AUUGAACGCUGGCGGCAGGCCUAACACAUGCAAGUCGAGCGAGCGGCGGACGGGUGAGUAAUGUAUGGGGAUCUGCCCGAUAGAGGGGGAUAACUACUGAAAACGGUGUCUAAUACCGCAUCCUAUCGCAUGAACCCAUAUGGGAUUAGCUAGUAGGUGGGGUAAAGGCUCAUCUAGGGGACGAUCUCUAGCUGGUCUGAGAGGAUGAUCAGCCACACUGGGACUGAGACACGGCCCAGACUCCUACGGGAGGCAGCAGUGGGGAAUAUUGCACAAUGGGCGCAAGCCUGAUGCAGCCAUGCCGCGUGUAUGAAGAAGGCAUUAGGGUUGUAAAGUACUUUCAGCGGGGAGGCGUUACCCGCAGAAGAAGUACAGGCUAACUCCGUGCCAGCAGCCGCGGUAAUUC
rnacentral:rRNA from 1 species